CGAACUCUGGUAUUGAUUGGUGCUUGCAUCAUGAUUUACAUUUGAGUGAGUGGCGAACUGGUGAGUAACACGUGGGAAACCUGCCCAGAAGCGGGGGAUAACACCUGGAAACAGAUGCUAAUACCGCAUAACAACUUGGACCGCAUGGUCCGAGUUUGAAAGAUGGCUUCGGCUAUCACUUUUGGAUGGUCCCGCGGCGUAUUAGCUAGAUGGUGGGGUAACGGCUCACCAUGGCAAUGAUACGUAGCCGACCUGAGAGGGUAAUCGGCCACAUUGGGACUGAGACACGGCCCAAACUCCUACGGGAGGCAGCAGUAGGGAAUCUUCCACAAUGGACGAAAGUCUGAUGGAGCAACGCCGCGUGAGUGAAGAAGGGUUUCGGCUCGUAAAACUCUGUUGUUAAAGAAGAACAUAUCUGAGAGUAACUGUUCAGGUAUUGACGGUAUUUAACCAGAAAGCCACGGCUAACUACGUGCCAGCAGCCGCGGUAAUACGUAGGUGGCAAGCGUUGUCCGGAUUUAUUGGGCGUAAAGCGAGCGCAGGCGGUUUUUUAAGUCUGAUGUGAAAGCCUUCGGCUCAACCGAAGAAGUGCAUCGGAAACUGGGAAACUUGAGUGCAGAAGAGGACAGUGGAACUCCAUGUGUAGCGGUGAAAUGCGUAGAUAUAUGGAAGAACACCAGUGGCGAAAGCGGCUGUCUGGUCUGUAACUGACGCUGAGGCUCGAAAGUAUGGGUAGCAACAGGAUUAGAUACCCUGGUAGUCCAUACCGUAACGAUGAUGCUAGUGUUGGAGGGUUUCGCCCUCAGUGCUGCAGCUACGCAUAGCAUCCGCCUGGGGAGUACGGCCGCAAGGCUGAAACUCAAAG
rnacentral:rRNA from 2 species